CCUGAUGCUCUGAAAGGACCAAUAAUUGUAACCAGCGCUGUGAGCCUGGCUACUGCUGCUGUGACAGCUGUGACACUGUGCAGGGAUGGAAGAAGCUCAUCGCAAUUGCAAACACUGCUAGGAGUGCUGCUGAACCCCCGGUGCUCCCACUGGCACACGAAGACAUCCCCACUGCACUUAGCAGAGACACUGUUAUAUCCACACCACACUUAGAGUCACAAUUACUUACAGUAAUAACACUUAAAGCAAUAGCGUGUCUUUGCUGUUUCUAUUUCCACAGAGACAAACCUCGCAAGGAUCUAAUCAAAGAGCCUGGAUAAAUGUGGAAUGAAAUCAGAGCCAAAUCUUUGUAGCAGUCUUCCCCUCGGCAUCCCGAGACGUGCAGACUGAAGGUGAGAACCAGUUGGGCUCUAGGAAAUGUCUGGGCAGACUUCGGAGCCGAGUCGAAGAGUCACAGCACGCAGAUGAAAGGGCUCCCUCUACACCUCGGGUCAGAACUGAAAAGACUGGGCUCCCAAAGAAGCUGGUUCUCUGUAUAGAUGUUCUUAUCUGGGUAAGUGCAGAAGUGUCACUUGCAGAGAUUCUGACACUCAGCAGCAUUGAUUUUGUGUCAUUCUCUUUUAUUUUAGUCUCAAACAGCUCAUCCAAAACCUAAAACAGAUUGGACAUUUCCAAAGGUACAAAGCAGAAUUUAGUGCCCAUUUCUAAGUGGCUCUCGUGGUAAGUUGAACACCACAUAGAUAUUUGUGGCUUUGAAGUGAGAAUCCAAAUACUGGACAUUUGGCUCCUGCCUUAAAUAUCCUUGGAAAGUUUUUUUUGGCAAAGACAAUUUUCUACCAGAAAGAUUCGGGGAAAGCUUUUAAAAUUCCAUUUGCCAUCGGAUGUAACUCAGACAUGAUAUUUGUUAUGUCAUCAGAGCAGAAUUGCUGACAUGAACAAGAGCGUGGGCAGUGACUUAUAUGGGACCAGGAUUGGGUCCAGUUUUCACAUUUUCUAGGCAUUUUUUGCUAAAUGUUAUUUUGUAUAAAGAAGCAUUUGUUUAGACUCCAGAUGUUCAAGUAACCUCCUGUCAUAUUUUGUCUGCAUCCCAGUGCUCCCAUCUGUGAUCUGAAGUGUUAUGAGGUAAAAGUGGAAGGAUUUAUUUUGAUCUCACUUCCAUCUGUUUUACACUCCCCUGACUCCCUUCUUGAUUUGUACCAGUGUUUGAGAGCAGGGCUAAAGUGCAGUGGGUGCAGUUCUGCACUGCUCUUACCAGUGUAAACUCAGAAAACAGGACAUUCACUCUGAACUGACCUCUGACAGUUAGUUGCAGAAGUAUUUGGGAUAAACAGUUGUGAUCCAGGAAAUCAGCAAACUCUGUGCAGGCACUUGUUCAGGGAGAACAUCUGCUAUGAAACACUUCAAUUGUUACCAGUGCCUAACAGAUGGGCACUGCUGAGACUAGUGAUUGUGAAAUAUGAACUUUACAAUGUUUCUGUGCAACCCACAGCAACGUUACCACAGCAUAUCCAGUGCUGACAUCUCUUUAUCUACUCUCAGAGUGCUCUGAAGGCAGCCUUGACUACAAAGCUCUGGGGCUUAUACAUUAGUGUCAGCCUUAGUUACAAGAAUAGGAAAUUCAUGAACACUGCCCUUAAUGGCUCUGAUUAUAAUCA
rnacentral:lncRNA from 1 species